CGGACUUAGGAAACCUGGGAUGAGAUAUUUUUAGGCUUCAAGUUUGAAUCAACUUGAGGCCUAUAAAUACUCCUCUCAUCUCUGGUCAACAUACAUAAGCACAGAGAAUUUAAAAGUGAGAAAACGUUGCUGCAAUCUCUUGAGAAAUUUCCUCCUCCACUCUAAGUUUAGAAUUCUGUAAGAGAGGAGUGAGUGCUUGUAAGGGUUGUCUCCUAAACCCGGUAAAAG
rnacentral:lncRNA from 1 species